ensembl:lncRNA
GAUCUAAACUGUAGUAAACAAGAGCCGUCAGAAAUAAACUGCUGUCUGUCUUUAUUUACUGGGAGUGUGGAGGGUGGAGAAGAUGAAGGUGGAGAAGAUGAAGGUGAAGGUGGAGAAGAUGAAGGUGAAGGUGGAGAAGAUGAAGGUGGAGUAGGUGAAGGUGGAGAAGAUGAAAGUAAAGGUGGAGUAGGUGAAGGUGGAGUAGGUGAAGGUGGAGAAGAUGAAGGUGAAGGUGGAGUAGGUAAAGGUGGAGGUGGAGAAGAUGAAGGUGGAGAAAAUGAAGUUGGAGAAGAUGGAGAAGAUGGAGGUGAAGGUGGAGUAGGUGAAGGUAGAGAAGGUGGUGGAGGUGGAGGUGGAGAAGAUGAAGGUGAAGGUGGAGAAGAUGAAGGUGGAGAAGGUAAAGGUGGAGAAGUUGAAGGUGGAGAAAAUGAAGGUGGAGAAGAUGGAGAAGAUAAAGGUGAAGGUGGAGAAGAUGAAGGUGGAGGUGGAGAAGAUGAAGGUGGAGAAAAUGAAGGUGGAGAAGAUGGAGAAGGUGGAGGUGGAGAAGAUGAAGGUGCAGGUGGAGAAGAUAAAGGUGGAGUAGGUGGAGAAGAUGAAGGUGGAGAAGAUGAAAGUGGAGGUGGAGUAGGUGAAGGUGGAGAAGAUGAAAGUAAAGGUGGAGUAGGUGAAGGUGGAGAAGAUGAAGGUGGAGUAGGUGGAGGUGGAGAAGAUGAAGGUGGAGAAAAUGAAGGUGGAGAAGAUGGAGUAGAUGAAGGUGGAGAAGAUGAAGGUGGAGAAGGUAAAGGUGGAGUAGGUGGAGAAGAUGAAGGUGGAGGUGGAGAAAAUGAAGGUGGAGUAGGUGAAGGUGGAGAAAGUGAAGGUGGAGAAGAUGAAGGUGGAGUAGGUGAAGGUGGAGAAGAUGAAGGUGGAGUAGGUGAAAGUGAAGGUGGAGAAGAUGAAGGUGGAGUUGGAGAAGAUGAAGGUGGAGAAAAUGGAGAAGGUGAAGGUGAAGGUGGAGAAGAUAAAGGUGGAGGUGGAGAAGAUGAAGGUGGAGAAGAUGAAAGUGGAGGUGGAGUAGGUGAAGGUGGAGUAGGUGGAGAAGAUGAAGGUGGAGGUGGAGAAAAUGAAGGUGGAGUAGGUGAAGGUGGAGAAGAUGAAGGUGGAGUAGGUGAAAGUGAAGGUGGAGAAGAUGAAGGUGGAGUUGGAGAAGAUGAAGGUGGAGAAAAUGGAGAAGGUGAAGGUGAAGGUGGAGAAGAUAAAGGUGGAGGUGGAGAAGAUGAAGGUGGAGAAGAUGAAAGUGGAGGUGGAGUAGGUGAAGGUGGAGAAGAUGAAGGUGGAGAAGGUGGAGUAGGUGAAGGUGGAGUAGGUGAAGGUGGAGAAGGUGGUGUAGGUGGAGGUGGAGAAGAUGAAGGUGGAGAAGAUGAAGGUGAAGGUGGAGUAGGUGGAGAAGAUGAAGGUGGAGAAGAUGAAAGUGGAGGUGGAGUAGGUGAAGGUGGAGAAGAUGAAGGUGGAGUAGGUGAAGGUGAAGGUGGAGAAGAUGAAGGUGGUGUAGGUGGUGUAGGUGGAGGUGGAGAAGAUGAAGGUGGAGAAGAUGAAGGUGAAGGUGGAGUAGGUGGAGAAGAUGAAGGUGGUGAAGGUGGAGUAGGUGGAGAAGAUGAAGGUGGAGAAAAUGAAGGUGGAGAAGAUGAAGGUGAAGGUGGAGAAGAUGAAGGUGGAGUAGGUGAAGGUGGAGAAGAUGAAGGUGGAGUAGGUGAAAGUGAAGGUGGAGGUGGAGAAGAUGAAGGUGAAGGUGGAGAAGGUGGAGAAGAUGAAGGUGGAGAAGAUGAAGGUGAAGGUGGAGAAAAUGAAGGUCGAGUAGGUGAAAGUGAAGGUGGAGGUGGAGAAGAUGAAGGUGAAGGUGGAGUAGGUGGAGAAGAUGAAGGUGGAGAAGAUGAAAGUGGAGGUGGAGUAGGUGAAGGUGGAGAAGAUGAAGGUGGAGAAGGUGGAGUAGGUGAAGGUGGAGUAGGUGAAGGUGGAGAAGGUGGUGGAGGUGGAGAAGAUGAAGGUGGAGAAGGUGGAGAAGGUGAAGGUGGAGUAGGUGGAGAAGAUGAAGGUGGAGAAAAUGAAGGUGGAGAAGAUGAAGGUGAAGGUGGAGAAGAUGAAGGUGAAGGUGGAGUAGGUGGAGUAGGUGAAGGUGGAGAUGGAGUAGGUGAAGGUGGAGGUGGAGAAGAUGAAGGUGGAGAUGGAGUAGGUGAAGGUGGAGGUGGAGGUGGAGGAGGCUGCAGAACCAUUAUAAUAAAGUGA